UCCUACGGGGGGCUGCAGUGGGGAAUAUUGGACAAUGGGCGCAAGCCUGAUCCAGCCACGCCGCGUGAGUGAUGAAGGCCUUCGGGUCGUAAAGCUCUGUGGGGCGAGACGAACCGCUGGGAGUGCAUAGCUUCCAGCAUGACGGUAUCGCCUUAGCAAGCACCGGCUAACUUCGUGCCAGCAGCCGCGGUAAUACGAAGGGUGCAAACGUUGCUCGGAAUCAUUGGGCGUAAAGCGCACGUAGGCGGUCCACCAAGUCGGAUGUGAAAUCCCUCAGCUCAACUGAGGACGUGCAUUCGAAACUGGCGGACUUGAGUACCAAAGAGGAUUGCGGAAUUCCCGGUGUAGAGGUGAAAUUCGUAGAUAUCGGGAGGAACACCAGUGGCGAAGGCGGCAAUCUGGGUGGAUACUGACGCUGAGGUGCGAAAGCGUGAGGAGCAAACAGGAUUAGAUACCCCGGUAGUC
rnacentral:rRNA from 1 species